CGGUGUAAAGUGUUAAAUAUGCAGUGUUAUAGACAACAGUUCGUCAUUGGUAAAUUAAGAAGUAUUUUUGUGGUUUAUCACAUUAACACAGCGUAAGACGAGUCCCGCAAAGUGUAAAGUUAUUUUCAAACUAAUGUUACCGUUAGAGAGACGCUGAUCUCUAACCGUCCGUCACUGCCUACACAGAUCUGAAGCGAGGUAAAGCGAACACACAUUCACUGCAUUAAAACACUUUAACCUUUGUGUUCAGUGUUACUGAAUAUCUGUAGGUUUCAUCUAGAAUGUCCCAUCUGAUGCUGAUCAAGUUUACUAAAUCCGCCGAAUGUUUAACAAAGGGGCUGAAGAGCGUUUAUAAUGGUUGUUUAACCUUAGUUAACAUUUUACAGUUAUUUGCUCCUCACGUUGUCUUAUUUAAAAUUCAUACUGACAAAUUGCUGUCAUACUUUGAAAUCAAUGUUUUCAGUGCAAAGGCAGAGAGUGAAGGUGUGGUGGUAUUGGCAGCAGGAAGGCUGCAUAAUAUGGGUCUGAAAUGAAGUACCGGAACAUUAUCAGUCAUUCAAGCUAUGGUAUCCUGGCAGAUCUACUUCCUGAAAAGAAGACUCAGCAGAUCUUUUCAAGACACACUAGAUGGAGCGCGGAGAGACCGGACAGUUCCCACAGUGCCAGUUUUUCAGCACCCACACCCCAAACACAAAUUCAUAUAGAAGUUUUCAAUAAUAAAAUGUUCAUAUGAUAGUUUAUAUUUAGCUAUGAAGCAAUAGUUUAUUGUCAUAAAUAUUAAACUAAAUAUUAAAGUCCUUCUGUAGUGAAAAUCAAGUUUUUAUGCUGUUUUUUUGUCUUUGUGGCAUUAAAUAUUGCUACAUCACAAUCCAAUAACCAAUCACAUCUAAGAAUAAUUUCCUAUAGCAU